UUCAAAUUUGUCAAGUAAGAUUAAAGGGAUAUGGGUAUGUGGGGAUGUGGCGACCGUUGACUGUAUAGUGUUGUUCAUUUUAUGUUUGACCUAUUUGGACUGAAGAUGCCUGGAAUGUUAUAUUGGAAAUCAUGUUUGCUAGAAAUUACUCACCCAAUGGUCGACAACAAAGGGCGGAUAGAACAUAAAUAUGCACGAAUCGUGAUAAUUUGAAGUCUCGGUGAUCAAGUCGCUACAUACGAAAUUAUACGAAGAUGUUGAAGUCGUGGUUUGGAUGUUCUAUGAAAAGGGACUGUGGCUCAAAGUAAAAUGACAAAAGUCAUGGUAAUGGUCGUGACAUUGACCGUGGCUGUGGCAUUAGUGAUGACUGGCUAUGAAUGCCUAUGAAAAAUGGUGAGAUGGCAAAAUGGCAAUUAGGUGAAUGCAACGUAUACACUAUAGAGGUAAAUAAUUGACCUAGUUAUUCGAUUACUUGAUUA